AGGGCACCACCAGGAGUGGAGCCUGCGGCUUAAUUUGACUCAACACGGGAAAACUCACCCGGCCCGGACACUGGAAGGAUUGACAGAUUGAGAGCUCUUUCUUGAUUCAGUGGGUGGUGGUGCAUGGCCGUUCUUAGUUGGUGGAGCGAUUUGUCUGGUUAAUUCCGAUAACGAACGAGACUCUAGCCUACUAAAUAGACUGUUCGGCCUUAUAGCCGGAAUCACUGGGCGUGUAGCUCUCCGCAAGGGGGGUUGCAUGUUCGGCUCUGGUGACGUUGGCAGUGCUUCUUAGAGGGACAGGCGGCGGUUCAGCCGCACGAAACAGAGCUAUAACAGGUCUGUGAUGCCCUUAGAUGUCCGGGGCUGCACGCGCGCUACACUGAAGUGAUCAGCGUGCAAUAUACGUUUGGUGAUCUGUCAAGAUUGCCCAACCCGUUGAACCUUCUUCGUGAUUGGGAUAGGGGAUUGUAAUUAUUCCCCUUGAACGAGGAAUUCCCAGUAAGCGCAAGUCAUAAGCUU
rnacentral:rRNA from 1 species